rnacentral:rRNA from 1 species
AGCGAACGCUGGCGGCAGGCUUAACACAUGCAAGUCGAACGCCCCGCAAGGGGAGUGGCAGACGGGUGAGUAACGCGUGGGAAUCUACCGUACCCUACGGAAUAACGCAUGGAAACGUGUGCUAAUACCGUAUACGCCCUUCGGGGGAAAGAUUUAUCGGGGUAUGAUGAGCCCGCGUUGGAUUAGCUAGUUGGUGGGGUAAAGGCCUACCAAGGCGACGAUCCAUAGCUGGUCUGAGAGGAUAAUCAGCCACAUUGGGACUGAGACACGGCCCAAACUCCUACGGGAGGCAGCAGUGGGGAAUAUUGGACAAUGGGCGCAAGCCUGAUCCAGCCAUGCCGCGUGAGUGAUGAAGGUCUUAGGAUUGUAAAGCUCUUUCACCGAUGAAGAUAAUGACGGUAGUCGGAGAAGAAGCCCCGGCUAACUUCGUGCCAGCCGCCGCAGUAAUAC